UACGAAGGGUGCAAGCGUUACUCGGAAUUACUGGGCGUAAAGCGUGCGUAGGCGGUUUGUUAAGUCUGAUGUGAAAGCCCUGGGCUCAACCUGGGAAUGGCAUUGGAUACUGGCAACCUAGAAUGUGGUAGAGGGUGGCGGAAUUCCCGGUGUAGCAGUGAAAUGCGUAGAUAUUAGGAAGAACACCAGUGGCGAAGGCGACUUUCUGGACGGUUCCUGACGCUGAGGCGCGAAAGCUAGGGGAGCAAACAGG
rnacentral:rRNA from 1 species